AUUGAACGCUGGCGGCAUGCCUUACACAUGCAAGUCGAACGGCAGCACGGACUUCGGUCUGGUGGCGAGUGGCGAACGGGUGAGUAAUAUAUCGGAACAUACCCUAGAGUGGGGGAUAACGUAGCGAAAGUUACGCUAAUACCGCAUGCGAACUAAGGUUGAAAGUGGGGGAUCGCAAGACCUCAUGCUCAUGGAGUGGCCGAUAUCUGAUUAGCUAGUUGGUGAGGUAAAGGCUCACCAAGGCGACGAUCAGUAGCUGGUUUGAGAGAACGACCAGGCACACUGGAACUGAGACACGGUCCAGACUCCUACUGGAGGCAGCAGUGGGGAAUUUUGGACAAUGGGCGCAAGCCUGAUUCAGCAAUGCCGCGUGAGUGAAGAAGGCCUUCGGGUUGUAAAGCUCUUUUGUCAGGGAAGAAACGGUGAGUCCUAAUACGGCUUGCUAAUGACGGUACCUGAAGAAUAAGCACCGGCUAACUACGUGCCAGCCGCCGCCGUAACAC
rnacentral:rRNA from 1 species